UUUUAAACCUUCCCUGUACUUCCACGGAUAUUUGUGGAUUGUGGAACCAAAGUCGUUCUGACCGACAUUUUGGGUUUUCGAUGUGUUUUCAUUGACAAUUCACAAAUUUAUUUGUUUGUUUACAUUUUGAGCAACGAAAAAUAAUCACGACAAGAAAAUUUUAAUAAUGAAGGUAUAAACCAGAUAAAUACCUCGCGCGAUACUUCAAGAGAAUUGAUGAGAAAAGAUAGAAGAGUUGAACAAACAACGUUUAAUCCUAUUAGGUAUAGUAAAGGAACUUGGCACGCCGAUUAAAUCAUGUUGGACAAAAGUUUGUAUAGGUUUUUACUGAUGCAAAUGUUUUUUAAUUAAAAAUAUUUAACUCCA